AUUCUGAACGUAGAGAGUGCCGAGAAGAUGCCGUCCUUACUUUUUGUCUCACUUUAUUCUAGAAGAAAACUCAAACGCUCUAUAAAUAUAGGAUUCAUCACAGAAAAACAAAGAGAAGAAAAGAAAUGGUAGGACCAGAGAGGCCAGAGUUCGUGCUCUUUGGAUCAUCAAUAGUUCAGUUCAGCUACAGCAAUGAAGGUUGGGGUGCUCUUCUUGCUCACAUCUAUGCUCGCAAGGCAGAUAUAGUAUUGCGAGGAUACUCCGGUUGGAAUUCAAGGCGUGCGGUGCAGAUUCUUGACCAAGUUUUUCCAAAGGAUGCUGCCAAACAACCUUCCUUGGUGAUAGUCUAUUUUGGCGGUAACGAUUCUAUCCACCCUCAUGCAUCUGGACUUGGUCCUCAUGUGCCACUUUCUGAGUACAUUGAGAAUGUCAGGAAGAUUGCUAUACAUCUCAAGAGCCUUUCGGAGAAGACUCGCGUCAUCUUUCUCACCGCUCCUCCUGUCAGUGACGAACAAAUUCGUGCCCAUCUGAGUGAUCUAAUAGAUAUGGUUCGAACAAAUGAGUCCUGCCGGAUAUAUUCAGAAGCAUGUUUAGAGGUGUGCCGUGAGAUGAACCUGAAGGCAAUUGAUCUUUGGACUGCAAUGCAGCAAAUUGAUAAUUGGGAAACUGCUUGCUUGACGGAUGGAGUCCAUUUUGCACCUGAGGGGAACAAGAUAGUCGUCAAGGAGAUUCUGAAAGUCAUCAAAGAGGCCACCUGGGAACCAAGUCUUCAUUGGAAGGCAAUGCCGACUGAAUUUUCUGAGGAUUCGCCGUAUGAUAUGGUCAGUCCUGAGGGAAAGACCGUAAAUGUCUCUGAGCUUGAUUUGCUCGGAAGUUUUCAGUGGGAAUAGAACCCAACAAUCACUAUUUAUUUUUUCCCUCUACUGGGAGGUGCGUCAUCUUGAUGUUUAACCCUAUCAUUCUGGAUAUUUUCAUCACCACAUACUAGAACAUAAACAUAGCUUUCAGAUCACAGGCAAUAAAUGAAUGGCUAGAUACUGCUAAUAAA